GGACUACUGGGGUAUCUAAUCCUGUUUGCUCCCCACGCUUUCGUGCCUGAGCGUCAAUCUCAGCCCAGGGGGCUGCCUUCGCCAUCGGUGUUCCGCCACAUAUCUACGCAUUUCACUGCUACACGUGGCAUUCCACCCCCCUCUGCCAGAUUCAAGUUCUCUAGUUUCCACUGCCAUUCCCAGGUUAAGCCCGGGGCUUUCACAGCGGACACAGAGAACCGCCUACGCACUCUUUACGCCCAGUAAUUCCGAUUAACGCUCGCACCCUACGUAUUACCGCGGCUGCUGGCAC
rnacentral:rRNA from 1 species